rnacentral:rRNA from 1 species
AUGUUAAGAUAGCCAUGCAUGUCUCAGUAUAAGCUUCUAUACGGCGAAACUGCGAAUGGCUCAUUAAAACAGUUAUAGUUUAUUUGGUGGUCAGCAAUUACAUGGAUAACCGUGGUAAUUCUAGAGCUAAUACAUGCGCCCAAACCCGACUUCGUGGAAGGGUUGUGUUUAUUAGAUACAGAACCAACCCAGGCUCCGCCUGGCCUUGAGGUGAUUCAUAAUAACCGAACGAAUCGCAUGGCUAUGCCGGCGAUAGACCAUUCAAGUUUCUGACCUAUCAGCUAUCGUCGGUAGGGUAUUGGCCUACCGUGGCAAUGACGGGUAACGGAGAAUUAGGGUUCGAUUCCGGAGAGGGAGCCUGAGAAACGGCUACCACAUCUAAGGAAGGCAGCAGGCGCGCAAAUUACCCAAUCCUGACGCAGGGAGGUAGUGACAAGAAAUAACAAUACAGGGCAUACAUGUCUUGUAAUUGGAAUGAGUAAACUUUAAAUCACUUUACG